UAAGCAUUGAUCGACACAACUGUUUCUUCUUCACACAAGAUGCUAUUUCAUUUACUUUUAGAUAUUUUUUCUGUUUACCUACAUUGAGAACAAAAAUGAGAUAUGUCUGUGCAUUCCUUCUAAUCAUACCUAUUGUUUUAACCUCACCUUCAAAGCGAUUUCUCAUUGAUGCAUUUGGCGAUGGUAUAGCGAUAGAAAAGAUAUCAGAGUGGGCUGCAUGUAAUCCAGAUAUGACUAAUGAUACAUGUAAUGCUGUUUGCCCGAAAAUAAUUCGAUGGAGUUUUUACUGCGGAUUGGCUUGCUCUAAUGUCCUAAAAAGGAUUGACACUGGAAGUUUUAAUAGAAACUGUACAACUAUUUAAUGAAAUGUUAAUAAAGAUUUUAAUCAAGCUGAACACUAUCUCAUUUUUUAUAAUUAUGUUCAGAUAAUCACUUACACGUGUAUGUUUUAUGUAUACUCU